AGUAGGACCUGGGCUAACACAUUACAUAAUCUAUACAGUAGGACCUGGGCUAACACAUUACAUAAUCUAUACAGUAGGACCUGGGCUAACACAUUACAUAAUCUAUACAGUAGGACCUGGGCUAACACAUUACAUAAUCUAUACAGUAGGACCUGGGCUAACACAUUACAUAAUCUAUACAGUAGGACCUGGGCUAACACAUUACAUAAUCUAUACAGUAGGACCUGGGCUAACACAUUACAUAAUCUAUACAGUAGGACCUGGGCUAACACAUUACAUAAUCUAUACAGUAGGUCCUGGGCUAACACAUUACAUAACCUAUACAGUAGGUCAUAACCCAGGUCCUACUGUAAA